AUUGAACGCUAGGGGGAUGCCUUACACAUGCAAGUCGAACGGCAGCGCGGACUUCGGUCUGGCGGCGAGUGGCGAACGGGUGAGUAAUGUAUCGGAACGUGCCCAGUAGCGGGGGAUAACUACUCGAAAGAGUAGCUAAUACCGCAUACGCCCUACGGGGGAAAGCAGGGGAUCGCAAGACCUUGCGCUUUCGGAGCGGCCGAUGUCGGAUUAGCUAGUUGGUGAGGUAAAGGCUCACCAAGGCGACGAUCCGUAGCGGGUCUGAGAGGAUGAUCCGCCACACUGGGACUGAGACACGGCCCAGACUCCUACGGGAGGCAGCAGUGGGGAAUUUUGGACAAUGGGCGAAAGCCUGAUCCAGCAAUGCCGCGUGCAGGAUGAAGGCCUUCGGGUUGUAAACUGCUUUUGUACGGAACGAAAAAGCUCCUUCUAAUACAGGGGGCCCAUGACGGUACCGUAAGAAUAAGCACCGGCUAACUACGUGCCAGCAGCCGCCGUAA
rnacentral:rRNA from 1 species